CGAUGAACCUCACUUCGGGAGGGGAUUAGUGGCGAACGGGUGAGUAACACGUGGGCAAUCUGCCCUGCACUCUGGGACAAGCCCUGGAAACGGGGUCUAAUACCGGAUACGAGUUUCACAGGCAUCUGUGAUUCUGGAAAGCUCCGGCGGUGCAGGAUGAGCCCGCGGCCUAUCAGCUUGUUGGUGAGGUAACGGCUCACCAAGGCGACGACGGGUAGCCGGCCUGAGAGGGCGACCGGCCACACUGGGACUGAGACACGGCCCAGACUCCUACGGGAGGCAGCAGUGGGGAAUAUUGCACAAUGGGCGCAAGCCUGAUGCAGCGACGCCGCGUGAGGGAUGACGGCCUUCGGGUUGUAAACCUCUUUCAGCAGGGAAGAAGCGAGAGUGACGGUACCUGCAGAAGAAGCGCCGGCUAACUACGUGCCAGCAGCCGCGGUAAUACGUAGGGCGCAAGCGUUGUCCGGAAUUAUUGGGCGUAAAGAGCUCGUAGGCGGCUUGUCGCGUCGGAUGUGAAAGCCCGGGGCUUAACCCCGGGUCUGCAUUCGAUACGGGCAGGCUAGAGUUCGGUAGGGGAGAUCGGAAUUCCUGGUGUAGCGGUGAAAUGCGCAGAUAUCAGGAGGAACACCGGUGGCGAAGGCGGAUCUCUGGGCCGAUACUGACGCUGAGGAGCGAAAGCGUGGGGAGCGAACAGGAUUAGAUACCCUGGUAGUCCACGCCGUAAACGGUGGGCACUAGGUGUGGGCAACAUUCCACGUUGUCCGUGCCGCAGCUAACGCAUUAAGUGCCCCGCCUGGGGAGUACGGCCGCAAGGCUAAAACUCA
rnacentral:rRNA from 1 species